GGAGGGGUGACCGAGUGGUUGAUGGUAGCGGUUUACUAAACCGCCGAGCUGCAAGGCUUCGCGAGUUCGAAUCUCGCCCUCUCCG
rnacentral:tRNA from 1 species